rnacentral:rRNA from 1 species
CCUACGGGAGGCAGCAGUGAGGAAUAUUGGACAAUGGGCGCAAGCCUGAUCCAGCCAUGCCGCGUGCAGGAUGACGGUCCUAUGGAUUGUAAACUGCUUUUAUACGAGAAGAAACACUCCUUCGUGAAGGAGCUUGACGGUAUCGUAAGAAUAAGGAUCGGCUAACUCCGUGCCAGCAGCCGCGGUAAU